UACGGAGGAUGCAAGCGUUAUCCGGAAUUAUUGGGCGUAAAGCGUCCGCAGGUGGCUUUUCAAGUCUGCCGUCAAAGACUGGAGCUCAACUCCAGGUAGGCGGUGGAAACUGAAAAGCUAGAGUACGGUAGGGGUAGAGGGAAUUCCCAGUGUAGCGGUGAAAUGCGUAGAGAUUGGGAAGAACACCAGUGGCGAAGGCGCUCUACUGGGCCGUAACUGACACUCAGGGACGAAAGCUAGGGGAGCGAAAGGG
rnacentral:rRNA from 1 species